AGUGAACGCUGGCGGCAGGCCUAACACAUGCAAGUCGAACGGCAGCACAGCAGUAGCAAUACUGUGGGUGGCGAGUGGCGGACGGGUGAGGAAUACAUCGGAAUCUGCCUAGUCGUGGGGGAUAACGUAGGGAAACUUACGCUAAUACCGCAUACGACCUACGGGUGAAAGCGGGGGAUCGCAAGACCUCGCGCGAUUAGAUGAGCCGAUGUCCGAUUAGCUAGUUGGCGGGGUAAUGGCCCACCAAGGCGACGAUCGGUAGCUGGUCUGAGAGGAUGAUCAGCCACACUGGAACUGAGACACGGUCCAGACUCCUACGGGAGGCAGCAGUGGGGAAUAUUGGACAAUGGGCGCAAGCCUGAUCCAGCCAUGCCGCGUGGGUGAAGAAGGCC
rnacentral:rRNA from 1 species